UAGAGCCUCGGCAGGUUUGGUUGUUGGGAACUCUGAUCAUUGUGAUGCUGAGAGGCUCAGUGGAUCUGCAGUCUGGCUCUCCCUGCUGUUAGCAGCCCUUCAGGACAACACACAUUCUGAAGGGUAAUCGUAAAGCAUCUACUGGGUGCUAUGCAACGAGAUGGGUCACAAGCCUGGAAGCCACUGUAUGAGCUCUCUCAAGUCAGACCAGAGUGAAUCAGGCCAGAAGCCUUUCCAGCUAUGAUCAUAUUCCUGGGCUUUCUUCCCUGUUUGAGUUCUCAUGUCAAAAAAACUCAUGAAAAGAACUUCCUCCAUUCAGGGUCUUAGCAUGUUAGUCUCCCAUGUGAGCCUUUCCUUAAAGCCUGAGCUUAAAAUAGGCUUUCUCACACUAAACACAUUUAUUCAGUCUUGUUCUUAAAUAAAUUAUCCUUUGUAUAAAACAA